AUUGAACGCUGGCGGCAGGCCUAACACAUGCAAGUCGAGCGGAUGAAGGGAGCUUGCUCCUGGAUUCAGCGGCGGACGGGUGAGUAAUGCCUAGGAAUCUGCCUGGCAGUGGGGGAUAACGUCCGGAAACGGGCGCUAAUACCGCAUACGACCUGAGGGAGAAAGUGGGGGAUCUUCGGACCUCACGCUAUCUGAUGAGCCUAGGUCGGAUUAGCUAGUUGGUGGGGUAAAGGCCUACCAAGGCGACGAUCCGUAACUGGUCUGAGAGGAUGAUCAGUCACACUGGAACUGAGACACGGUCCAGACUCCUACGGGAGGCAGCAGUAGGGAAUAUUGGGCAAUGGGCGAAAGCCUGAUCCAGCCAUGCCGCGUGUGUGAAGAAGGUCUUCGGAUUGUAAAGCACUUUAAGUUGGGAGGAAGGGCAGUAAGUUAAUACCUUGCUGUUUUGACGUUACCAACAGAAUAAGCACCGGCUAACUUCGUG
rnacentral:rRNA from 1 species